AAGCUAGGCAGUGAAUAGGGGUCCACAAAGUUAUAAGACAUGAUCUUGGGACUUAAGACAUAACUUGGACACAGCUUAUAAAAGGCAAAAAACAUAGAGCAAAUCAAUUCAAGAGAUAGAAGCUUAUUAAAAGGGAGGGAUUACUUUAAUCAGAGAUGCUCAAGGCAAACAUCUGCCUUAGUGUUUGACCCAAGCGUCAAAAGAUGCAAUGAGGGGCACCUGGAUAGCUCAGGGAGUUGAGAGUCUGACUCUUGAUUUCAACUCAGGUCAUGGUCUCAGGGUCCUGAGAACGAGCCUGCGUUGCGCCCGCACUCAGUGCAAUGUCUGCCUGUCCCUCUCCCUGCCCUUCUGCCCCUCUGCUCUAUCUAUCUAUCUAUCUAUCUAUCUAUCUAUCUAUCUAUCUAUCUAUCAUCUAUCUAUCUAUCUAAAAUAAAAGCAUAAAAUCUUUAAAAAAAAAAGGAUGCAAUGACAUUGGAUGAAUAAAAGGAAGAGGAGAAAGAAAAUCUUCAGUGGAGACUAUAUCAGGGGUGUAGAAAAUGCAGUAUUAAAUAGUCAUGUCCAACAUGAGCCCUAAGAUGCACCAUGGAACACAUACUAAGGGAAAGAGAAUGGUGCUAUCUAUGCAUAACCGUGAAAGACAGGUUAAGAAGUUUGACUUUAUUGACACCCACGAGUCACCAAAUGUUUUAAGCAAGGGGGUAACCAAAUCAAAGUGGCAUUUUGGGAAAAUGAAUCUAGUGGUAAUAUGAAGUAGUAUGAAGGACUGAGAUAAAGGAAGAGGAUAGAGUAGGAGCAAAUUUGGAUACAGGUGUAAAGUCAUAAAAGAAUUUAAGGAAAUUCUCCUUCAAACACAAUGUAAAAAAAGAAAAACACAAUGUAAUAUAUGACAUUAGACAAAGGGUCAAACAUCACAAAAUUAAAAUUCAGAGUUUGGAUUAAAUUUUAAUUUGGGGAAUGUGAAGAUAUAGGUCAAAUUCCCUUAUCUUUGUUGACAUAGUAUUCCAAGCAAAAGAUUCUGAGCUAUAUUCCCAAAGAAACAAUAUAGAAAAGUCAGAGGGGCGAAGGGUUCUCUUUCAGUGCGAGAGCUCAAAUGUUAGUCUCUCCACAAAAGCCAGUAGAAGCUUCCCAUCCUCAAACAUAAGCAAACAAACAAAAGAACCACUUGCAUGAAACUCUAAUAAAAUUACGUCUGGUGGUUGGCCCCACGUAGGACAGCCCGGCCCUAAGUCAGAUGAUACAAUAUGAAACCCUUUAGAAAUCUAAGAUCUACCUUCUAUUUCUAAUUCUUUUCUUGAAAACAUAAGUGGCUUCAAUUAUAAACACAAAAAAAAGAAGAACAAAAUUAAUCCUCCGAAUGAGUCUAUUUCAGGGCUGCACUUAAUUUGUGAUUUCUCUUGUGCUACUUAAUUCACCUCUCCUCUUUAAAUAAAGCUCCCUACAAGAAAUCUUCAGCUUUUCAAAUAAAAAAAUGUCUCCCUCUCAUUUGUGAGUUGUUUUAAGGGAGAGAUGCAAGUUUAAGAGAUUCUAGGCAGUCGUUAUAAUUGGUCUUUCUUAUAAAUAGUUUUCCGAUUUAAGGCAUGGUCUAUAUUACAAAUUUUGUGUCCAUUCUUCAAGUCAUUCAAAUUAAAAAUAACAUAAUUGAAAUAUUUUUCAUCAAGCAUCAAAGUCCUUGAUAUAUGUAUCCAGUUGAUAUGAGCAUUUGGGUGAGGGUUUCUCUUGGGAGAAUAAGACCCCACAUCCUAGGAGGUGAGGGUAGGAUUCUGAUCUUCUGGGGAAGGGAAGGGAAAGGAGGAAACAAACUAGAUAUUCCAUCUCCUAUUCUGACUUAGCUUACCAAAAUCCUCACACUUUGAGAAACAGGGAGAACAGGCACAGGUGAAGUAUUUUUUUCCCAACAGUAUUCAAGAUUUAGUUUCAGUUUCUUAAACUGGAGAUUUCAAUUUCCACUGAAACUUAAAGAAGCCCUUUUGGGAUGCCUGAGUGACUCAGCAGUUGAACGUCUGCCUUCAGCUCAGGGUGUGAUCGUGGAGUCCUGGGAUCGAGUCCCACAUCGGGCUCUUCACAGAGAGCCUGCCUCUUCCUCUGCCUAUGUCUCUGCCUCCUUCUCUGACUCUCAUGAAUAAGUAAAUAAAAAUCUUAAAAAAAAAAAAAAAAAAAAAACCUUAAAGAAGCCCUUUUAAUGUCCUAAUGGAAUGUUUAAUGGAAAGAGUGUCGGGAGGGGAAAAGGCAAGCAUCCCUGUAUAUUGUGUCUACAAAGUGGCAGAGAGAGGGGAUUUCGCUGUGAAAUCAACAUUGUUCACUUCCUGAUUCAGUCUCUAUCAGGAUGGUUUUCACACUUUCAAAAACCCAUCUUUCUAAACAUCAUGAAUAAUGGAUUGAGAUUUCUGAAGCCCCUUCCUUUCCUUCCACAAUUUAAAUCAAGCUCUUUCAAAGCCAACAUACUACAUCUUGAUUGAAGCCUGAAAAGGUUAUAAAUAGUAAAGGUUGAAAAUUUUCCACAAAGGUAGAUAGAUGGAAAAAAAAAAAAAAAAAAAAAAAACCUUAUACCAUACACAGGCAAGAUGUACUCUGCAGCUCAUUAUCAACACUGUCCUCCUCAUCACUGCGCUGAUGGCUGAUGUCUUAAAAGAAUGCAAGGAACAAAGAGGGGCCAUGGCGCCACUGAGCUUUCCUCCAAGCUGAAAUCUCUGCAUUUAUUUCCUGCCUCCCCAAAACCAGGCAUAUGAUGCCAUUUGCUUUAAGCUAAACUCAGCCCAGGGAAGCUGUAACUUGAAUUCUUAAUACUGUCUCCCUCUGCUGCUGGCCAUUGUUUGAAUGCUGCACGCUCUGCGCACUCUAAAGGAUUGAAGCUUACACCUGUAAACUGUUCACUGAGUACCAAUUUCCAAGCUGGAGGAAUUUUUUUUUUCCCUCUUGCUUUGAAUUCCUCUAGGUUUCAUGUGAAACUCUUGCCGAUGUCACAAACACCAGAUCUUUACAGAAAGGCUGUUAGAAUAUGAAAAGGACACUUCCAGCUGGGGCAGUGGAAGGGGUACUUCAAGGAUUAGGUGGAGAAGGCUUAAUAAUAAUAAGUUUAUGUGCAUGGUGUCAAAUUUCUCAAGGAUUCUCAGAAACCUGUAGCAUCUGAUCUUCAGAAUAGCCCUGUGAGGCUGCUCCAGUUCUCAGGGAGUCCUCACUGACUUUCAUGCAGUAACUAUAUACUGAGUGACCAGUAUGUACCAGGUGCUGCUAUGCCCACAACAGUCAAGGCAUCUGCUCCCAUGGAGCUCAGGGCUCAGAGCGAGACACAGGCAAUAAACAUCAAACACAAAUGAAUCUUCUAGAUAAGAUAGUGCGAGAAGCCAUGAAGAAAAUCCCCUGGGGUGAUAUCUUAGAAACAAGGAGGCUGCUUUUAGGGGUGACACUCCGCAAGCUGAGAACUGAAAGAAGUGAAUAGCAAGCAAUGGGGUGGUCUGAGGGAGGGGCAUGUCAAGCAGAUGGAAGUGCCGUUCAGCAACCUUGAAGCAUGUCCUACAAAUGGCAAAAAGGCCAGCUCAAAUGAGGGGAGCUUUGGAAAGGAUGGUAAGAGAUGGGUUGGAGUUGGAGAGGUAGGAAGGGCCUCCCUACUUGGAAGCAGAUGACCAUGCAGAAGAGGAGGAAGGGGAGGAGGAGGAAACGGGGCUCAUAUUUGUUGAGUGUUUACAAUGGGCCAGGCUUUGAGCCAAGUUCCCAGUCAUAAGUGGUGGGGGCUGGGGCUCACACCAGGUUCUCGGAGUCCAAAUCCUGUAUGUCUUAUACUAUGCCAUGCUGCCUGGCCCACACCCUGCCAUCUGGAAGGCCAGCUUUGGUUCACCCAGGUGGAAAUGGGAAAGAGAAGGAAAAAUGAUAUGCUGAAUCCCACACAGGAUCCUUUUUACCUGCUGGCCUGUGUCCUGAGUGACUUCCAACGAGGGGCAUAAUUUUGGCCGGAAUUUUAAACAUUACAAUUUCUCUAAAUGCAAAGGAAUAUUGUCUUCACUUCCUAUCUUUGGCGGCCUCUGGUCUAAAGAAUCAGCUGACUGUCUCUACACUCUGAGGCAAAUUCAAGCACUGAAGACAGAAUAUGGUUAUCAGAUGAAACUAAAAAGGUGACUGGAAAAGAAAAGACAAAACUUAAGCAUAUUUAAUGCCUCUAGGAAAUGAAUCCAAAUGGAUCUUGAUUAGUGUUUCAAGGAGAAUGCAAUGUAAGUUCUUUCCACCACCUUCCUUCAAGCAAGUUUGAAUACUCUCUCUGACACUGCUUUUACAUGUGCUCAAAUUACUUUAGAAACCUGUCAUAUUGAAUUAGCAAAAGAAGACAGUAAUUCAGAGGGGUGCCAAUGUGGCAUUAUUGAAAACUGCUGGCUGGAAGGCUUCCUCUGCAGGAUUAUUUGGGGACAAUAAGUCACUUUCAUCACCAUGUGUCACUAUGACCAGAUGAUGGGCUUUCUGUGGCUUUUGGAGUCAACCUUUUAAAAAGCCCACUAUACAGAUGAAAAGUGUACAGAGGACACCUGCACUCACCAAUAAGGGAAUGAGGACACCCACAAGCAAGAGCACAGGCAAGGGUUGGCUUCAUUCUGGCCACUUGGCAGGGACCAGAGCCAGAGACACUGACCUUGUGGCAACCCAGAAGAAGAGUCAGGUUUCAGAAGACCCUUGACCUCAACAUCAAACUCAGAGGCUGCAAGAAUGAGGAAUAAAUGGCACAGAUGUAUGACAUAAAAUACUCCCUCUCAUGAUCCCAAUGAUGGGCCACCUCUUCAGAGAAGCCUUUCACGACCAUUCUACCUCACCCGGCUUCAUCACUCCCUGUCAUGUUACUCUCAUAAUUUUCUUUUUCUUGAUAAGAUGAAACAAUUUUUGAAAUCCCCCAGUUUGUUUGCACUACUCGCCUGGCUACCCCCCACCCAUCCCAGAACAUGAUAUCCAUGAGAAGCAGAAUUUUAACCACCCUCCACCAGCCC
rnacentral:lncRNA from 1 species